rnacentral:lncRNA from 1 species
CUUUGGAGAUUUUCAGAUAAAUAGUUGAGGAGGAAGGAUAUUCUGGUUUUUGUUUGUUGUUUUUUUAUCCUCUACCUUCCUUCUUUUUUCUCAUAGUUCCUUAUUGUCUUUGCAAUAUUAGAUGAGUGGGAUUGCCUUGCACAUACUUUUUAGGGCUUUUCCGUUGUUCCCUGAGUGAGUGUCCCCCUAGUGUCAUUUCUUCAAUUUCAGUUAGCUUCUGAAACCUUUAAUUUCUUUGGGGUAUGGCAGAAACAGAGAGGCAGAAUGAGUUUCAUGGUGGAGAGAGAGCUGACCUCUGAGUAGGAAAGACCUGGGUUCAAGCUCCACCUCUGACACCCCGGAAAACUCUACAAGAUGAAUGUCAGAACAGUUGCCAUUGUGCAUUGAGAAAGGAAGUUUUUCACUGUAUGUUUGACUAAUAAUAUAAUGACAGGCAGAAGCUUCUGAUAAAUAGUUUUCUUGAUUAGUUAAUGAAGACUGAAGUUUCUCCUUUGGCCACGCUGAAGAAAAAUGGCAAGGGAACUGUAUGUGUUGCUUCACACCUGUAAUCCCUACUACUAGGGAGGCUGAAGCUGUUAGAUUUCUUGAUCUCAGGAGUUCUGAGGUAAAGAGAUAUACAAAUGAAGUCGGACAUGGGAGUGGUAAGUCUCCAGGAAUAAAGGAGCCACCAAUUCGCCCGAGGAGAAGCAAACUGUCUGCAGUAAAAAAAGAAGAGAGGAGGGGAGAGGAGGGGAGGGGAGGAUCAAAGGUCCCGUACCCCUGUCCACAUUGUACUCCUAAUCUGGAUGAAAUAAGGAGAUGCAGUAUAGGAGCAAGGUUGAGGGAAGCUUUGAGAUCACAGAGGAAGGAUGGCAUGAAAGCCAUAAGGCACUCGCACGCCCCACGCACGCCCCACGCACGCCCCUAUUGUUUUGGGCAAGAAUAAACUGAAACCUCUCCCUUUCCAUGCGGAGGCUACAUCAAGCGGGAGGUGGAGGCGGAGGCUGCCAAGGCCUCGGAAGGCAUUGCUGCUGGAGGUGUAAUGGACGUUAACAUGGCUACACAAGAAGCAUUGAAGACCGCACUCGUCCACUGUGACCUAGCUCAAGGAAGUCAUGAAGCUGCCAAAGCCUUGGACAAGCGCCAAGCUGAUCUUUGUGUUCUUGCUUCCAACUGUGAUGAACCUUUGUAAGUAAAGUUGGUUGAGGCCCUGUGUGCUGAGCACCAGAUCAACUUGAUCCAGGUUGGUGAGGACAAGAAGCUGGGCCAAUGGGUAAGGCCUCAGAGAGUCAGAGAGGGAAAGCCCUGUAAAAUGAUUGGCUGCAAUUGCGUUGUUGUUAAGGACAGGACAAGGGCCUGACAAGGCAUCUCAGGUCAAAGAUAUCAUCGAAGAAUAUUUUCAAUGUAAGAAAUGAAUAAAUAAAAGCCUUGGCCUGGAAAAAAAAAAGAA